GUAUCAACAAAUGGGAAUAAACGCAAUGUACUCUUCCGUACAAGAUCAUAGCACAACACCAAAAGUCAUCGAUAAACAAGGUCUAGUAGCAACAAACUGCUACGUGAAGGCUCCGAACAACAAAAGACAAGGACAUAUUACAUAUACAAUAUGCAGCGUAUAGGUUUUUUGUAUACUGCAAUUUAGUAUCCAAGACAUACUCCAGAAUAGUUAAAUAAGUAUAUUACAAUUUGGCUUUAAAAUUGGAGACUACCAGUUAGAUGAACUCAUGGACCUCAAAUGAAGAGUUCAUGUGAUCAACCAAAUGCUUCUCAAAUCAAACAUGUUUCAGUAAAGUCAGCCAAACUGAUAUUUUUCAGUUACUUAUCUGAUGUCUUAAAAGAAAGGUUCACAGAGAAGGCAUCGUAAUUUGUAUGAAAUAUGAGAACUCUUCACUGCUCAUUAUCUAGAAGUGGAGAGUUGUUGUUAGGUUGGUGCUUAUCCACCUUAUCGUCAUUUGAUUAUUAAUCCUCCUAAAGGCAGAAAAAGAAACACUGUCAGUUGUCACUGCAAAAUUAAUCAUAUGAAAAAAGUUUACAGCAGGUAUAGACAAAGCAAGCAAACGCGGACACCGCUUGUGUACCAUUGGGAUACCAAUGUUAUAUAACAUUGGUAUCCCAAUGGUACACAAGUGGUGUCCAGCAAAGCGGUGUCCAGCAAAGCACUAUAAUUGAGGUUGAUUGCUCAUACAACCCCUUGAAAAUGCAGGAUCUUACUGGAAUCUAGGUUUCGGUAAUGUAUUUUGACAGAUUUGAGCAAUCACCAUAAAUGAAUUUGAAAGAUUCAAAACUGAUUUUAUAAUAGAUUCCUCUAUUGUCAUUCUUGAACAAUUUUUACAAGAGUGAAUUGCAGACAAGCGUUCUCAUAGAAACCGGCACCAAAUCAGAUUUGUAACUGAAUAAUAAGUUAAUAACUGUUUUAUUGAACAAUUUUCAAAGGGAAAAGGUUCCCAAAACAGAGACAACACACACGAUUUCACACUUGCAUAUAAUUGAAAUUACAGACACGAACAACACCGAGGGUUCUCUCCUAAUCCAAAAUACCACUCAAUAAUUCCAAGAUGACCAACUAUGCCCACGUUUCCUUAUUUUAUUCACACACCACACAUAACUACAACAGUAAAUUCUAAUAAGAUAAAUAACUGCCUACUGCCCACAUUAAUUCUGUCCCCUCCUCUUAUAAAUAUUCUUUAAACGAGGCCAAACAGGUUCCUACAAUAAUCUAAUAGGCUAUAUCAUUCUCAAAUAUCACAAAAAAAGAAAUCUUCACAUGAAAACAACAAAUAGAACCCCAAAAAUUUAGUAACAGAAAUUCAAAGGGGAUACAUCAAAAUCUAUGAAGCAUGGAUAAGGACACAGACACCGGACACGACUCGGACACUGACACGCCAACACCACUAAUAAUUUGAGAAAAUCACAUAAUUCAGUGUAAUUAUAUGUGUUCGUGUGAGUGUCAGACACGACACGCGUCAGACACCGGGACACGCCUAAUCCGAAGAGUGUCCGUGCUUCAUAGAUCAAAAUGCAUGUGACGAAUGUUACCUUUUCAGCGCAACAGAGAUGAAGACUGGGAGGUGUUGACGAGGCAGGCACGGUGGCAGAAGCAGACUCAGCAGCAUGAACAGGUGCAGCAGAGGAGGCAGGCACGGCGAAUUGCGAAUGAUAGUUGAUAACCUUCGCACCCUUUAUAGAUUCUUCAACCUGUUUAGCAGCAACCAAUCACAAACUCUUAUCGUUGUUUCAUUUAAAAUUAUCUAAGCUUAGAUUCUCAAAAAAAAAAUAUCACAUUCAGUUUCCUUAUGAUUUGAUUUAUAAAUAACUACCUGCUUAAGAUUAAAACAAGCCGGGUAAUUUGUUGUGAUGUUAACUUCGGCGGAUUGCGAGUUUUGACGCAAGAAUUCAACUAUUCCAUCAGGUAUGGGAGGUGGUUCCAAACGUGCUUUAAAAGCCUUUCUUAACUUGGCAGCUUCUUUACGUGACUUGGCAGCAGCUUUCUUUAACAUGGCUUCUUUCACCAGGUUGGGUAAUGCCAUUUGAUUACUACAGGUUUCCAGUUUUAUUUCCAUAGACUUCAAGUUACACAAAGAAGGCAGCUUAACCUCUAGUAAAUCAGGAACUAAUGAGAGAAUCUAAACAAUUAGGAAUGAAAGUGAAUUAGAAUAGCUUAUGAAAGUCAAGUGAUUCUAAACAAUAUUUAAAAAUAAAAUGAAGAACCUCGAUAAGAGAGUAAUAUUAAAGCUUCAAAACAUUCAAACAUACCCGAAGAGUAGUUGAAGAGACCAUCAAUGAUUUUACAUUGGCAAGGUUUAGCAGCCAGUCGAAUAGAAUCAAAGGAGGCUCAUCCCAUCUUGAAAACAUUUCUGCUUUAAUCUUUACUUGUUUGACAGAAGAAAGACCACUCCCACAUAUUUUCUGAACAGGAGUACCAGUAAAAGUAAAGGUACAAAGACUUGGAGCACAUAACUCAAUUUUUGCAAAGUCUUCUGAAUAAUUACGCAUUUUAAAAUUGACAAGGGUUUCACUUGAUAUCCUGAGGAUUUGUGCAUCCCUUACCCUACAACUACGAAUGACCAAACUAGUCAACUUGGGAAAGGCCAAAAAGGGCUCAGCACAACCAUUUUCACCACCGCAAAAGUUGAAAUUUGUUAGAUAUAAGUUGGUUAAUGUUGGCAAAUUCAAAGAUUUUGGAAAUAAUAUUCCAGAAUUACUACAAAUACCAUCUUUAGGGUAAAUUGAAAGCAUCAGAGAAGUAAGAGCCCGACAUGAAGAAACGCAGCUCAUAAUGAGACCACAAUCACCAUUGACAGAGAUUCCUAAAUCCUGGAGGUGGGUAUUAUGGGAGGAAACAUAGUUUAAAAUCUUUUUAAGGAGUUGAGGCUCAAUGUUACCAUGACGGUCAAGAUCAAGAGCGUGCAGUGCAGUUGAGGUAUCACGAAGAGUCAAUAUGUUAGACACAAACAUGGCAAAUUGCUUAACAGUGGAAAAUCUUGAUGCAUACAACAUAAGAGUUGGAAUACGUUUCCAGAGAUGUCUCCAUCUCUUAGACAAAACACAAGUUCUGACAACAUGUUUGGUAUUCAAAAAUGACAAAAUGUGAAGGAUUAUACCGUCGGGUAAGUCACUCAGCCUGUCUUCACUUUCUUCGUUACUUUGAUUCUCACAUUUCCUUCUUUUAUUCAUCUUUUCCAGAAUCAUGCUUUCUUCGUUAGAACUACACGGGCGCUUCAUUGACAUUUUGGGUUCGAGAUAAUCAAACAUUCUCCGUAUUUUCUGUUCGUUAAGCAUAAAAAGUAAAAAUAAUUGGAAUCAUAUUACACAAAAUGAGCAAUUAUAAAGCAAGAUUCUAGUGAAAACCUAGAAAGUAUUUUGAUGUCGAUGGAUAAUAAUUUGGGGGAAAACGUAGAAAAAUGUAAAUAAAAUACCUCGCCGUCGAGCUGUAACUUCUUCGAUGGAUCGGAACGCCGAAGCAAGUACUCACACAAAGUGGAUUGAAAGGUGUAAAUCAAUUUCGGUUUCUAGUGUUCCUUGUUUUUAAUUUUUAGUGCGGGAAUAAUAAUUUCACGAGGGAGAGAAAGCCAAGUGGGAUUGAAAUGUUUGUGGAGGGUCAGUGGUUUUGUCAUCAACUUUUACUUUUUUUUUUUUUGGGUUAAAUAUGAUUUUGGUCCCUAUAAAUAUACCAACUUUUCAUUUUAAUCCCUCUAAAUUUUUCCUUUAACUUUUAGUUCCUCUAAAAUUUUUCAUCUUCAUUUUUUAUCCCUCCUUUAAAGGAAACUCAUAUGUAGAAUUCAUAUUUGGGAAUAAAAUUUUGCAGAAAAAUUCAUAAUAUUAUAAGAAUCUCUCCAAAAAAAUUUAGAAUUUUUUAAUAAAACAUAAAUUUAAUAUGAAUUUUUAUAUUUUUUUAUGGUUAAAAAUUCAUAUUAAAUUUAUGUUUUGUUAAAAAAUUCUAAUUUUUUUGGGAAAGAUUUUUACAAUAUUAUACACAUUUCUGCACAAUUUCAUUAAAAAAUGUAAAAAUUAACUUAAAAAUAGGGACUAAAAGUAGUGAUUGAAAAUUUUAUAGGGACUAAAAGUUGAAUGAAAAUUUUAGAGGGACUAAAAAGAAAAGUUGGUAUAUUUAUUUGGACCAAAAACAUAUUUAACCCUACUUUUUUUUAGUUUAAUAUAUGUUUUUUUCUUAUAAAUAUUCCAGUUUUUUUUUUUUUGACAAGUAUGAAUGUUACAGAUUUUGUUUUUAAUUUCUCUUAAAUUUUUCUUAGAUUUUUAGUUUUCAUCUAAGUCAAUUCAUAUGUAUUAUUUAAAAUUUUGAAUUUCUUUUUCAGAAAUGUUUAACAUAUUAUAAUAAUCUCUUAGAGAUUUUUAACAAAACAUGAAUUAGAUAUAACUCAUUUAAUUCUUGUUUUACUGCUCUUAAAAAAAUUCAUGUUUUAUUAAAAAAAAAAUCUAAUUUUUUUUUGGAGAUAUCUUAUAAUAUUUUAAAUGUUUUUGCAAAAAUUCAUUAAAAAAUCUGAAGAAUAGAGACCGUUUGUUAUAGCUUUUUUAAGCAAAAAAAAUAAUCACUUUUAAGAGUGUUGCAUUUGUUUGUUAAAACUUUUUAAAAAAAUCAGAAUCUAAAAACAGCUUCAAAUGAUAAGUUGUUAAGCAGCUUCUAAAAAAAUAGAUAUUUUUUAGAAAUGAUUAUCAUUACGGUAGCUUAUCUCAGUUGGUUGGGACAAUGCAUAAAAUAUGCAAGGUUUAAAGUUCAAACCUCCGCCACUACCAAAAAACAAACGUAAAUUAGAUCUGAUAUUUCAUAAAAUCUCUAAAAUAUAAUCUCUAAAUUAUUUUAUGUGAAAAUCAUUUUUAUUUUAAUCUGUAACAAACGCGCCCUUAUUGCAUUAUAGAAUUUAGACCUAACCAUAAAUCGAAAAGCGAUGGGAACGAUGGAACCUGUGAAUACCUUACUAAUUCAUUAGAUGGGAUGGCGGACGGAACUAAGAAUUCAUUAUUUUUUGAGGAGUUGUGGACUAACCCAACAUUACAUCUUAAAUUUAUAAUGAAAGAGUGAAUAUUCGCCCGCGAAAAUGUGGAUUUUUUUUAAUUUAAUUUUUUUUGCCAAUAUGAUAAUAAAAUAAAAUAAAAAGACAAAUAUGGAUUCGUUAGAACAUUAUAUCAAAACAAGAAUUUAUUCUACUUGACGACAAGAAUUUAUUCUACUCGACGACAUAAAUUUGAGUUUUUUAUUCUAGAAUUAAUCCUUCCUUAUUUAUUAAUUUUGUUACGUUUGUAGCAAUUUAACCUAAUUUUUUCCCGCUCAUUUGCUUUAUUAGGUUUGCAAUUAUUUAACCUAACAAAUUUCAUCUAAAAAAAUGCAUCGCACCAAUUUCAUUCAUAUCCUCUUGCCUUUUUUUUUAAGAAAAUAUCUACACUUAUCCUUAUAUAUUAAUUUUGUUAGGUUUGCAGCAAUUUAACCUAAUUUUUUCCCGUUCAUUUUCUUUAUUAGGAUUGCAAUUAUUUAACCUAACAAAUUUCAUCUAAAAAAAUGUAUCGCACCAAUUUCCUUCCUAUCCUCUUACCUUUUUUUUUUUUGAAGAAAAUAUUUUCUACAUUUAUUUGAUGUUGCACGUUUGUUCUAGACACUAUGAGCAUAUCAAUGAUCACGUUAGAUGCCUUCUAUUUUAUACUUUUUUUUUCGGCUACCCUAAUUUCCAUGUAAGCUUGGUUAUAUAUACCCGAAUUAUUGAUAGGAUUACCGAAUUUUCUUUUAUAAUAUUUUCAGAUUUCAUACAUUUUAUGAAGUGUUUUAUUUUGUCUACUAUAGAUUAUCACGUGUUAUUUAUUUUUUCACCGUUACCUAUUAUAUAUUGCAUUUUAUUAUUCGUAUGUCAAUUCCUUUACAAUAAACCCGAGCGAAGUACGGGUCAAAAAUCUAGUUUUAACACUUAAAUUUAUUGUUCAACAUACCUGUACAUGAAUGUAUCCAAACAUAAAUCACUUUAUCUUCAACUCAUUUAAGUCAUAAUCAGUUUUACAAAAUCAAUUUUUAUCAAUCAAACACACGCUUAAACUGCAUACAAAAGUUUCAACUUAAAAUCAAUUUUGACAAUAGGAACAAUUUCUAAAUAGAAAGUCAAACAUCGUCACAUUAAGUGAAACCACGUAUGAAAUCUCCAACUGUGGUACUAAACAUGUCACACAUGCUACAUUCUGCUGUGUAGCAUCAAUGUGGGCGCUAUCCACCUUUUACGAAGAGUUGCAGAGAGUACGUCCCAACAAAAGCAAAUACAAGCACCUCACAAGGAAUAAAAAAGACACACCAGACUAAAAAAUAAUAAUUAAACCAAACACUUCCAACCAGAGAAUUCCCUAGACACGAAAGCUAAAGAGAAACAAGACAAUCAAAAGGACCCCUGGCCCUGACCGAUAUGCCCCCUUUACAUCAGAGAAACACACCAAAUACCAAAAUAUUUGACUCUGUUACUCCGAUCACCCUGCCAACAGAUUCACCUGAACCUAGACACAUUACUCUAGCCUACUAAGUUACCAACAAAACCACUAAACAAUCAAUUAAUUUUCUAUCCAACACCAAUAUUAACUACAAACGCUGCACUUUGCAUUCAAAUUAGCCCGUAGCCUCCUACAAUUUCAACAAUAACGCUCAGUAUCACCUGACAACUAUCUUCUUUUAUGAGACAAACAAAAUGGCCCCAUGCAUACAAACACACCAUAUCACACCGGCUAGCCACAAAAAGACCAACAUCAGCAACACAAUCCCACCUAUCAGCUAAACACGCCCCACCACAACAGCAUCCGAAUCAGUCAGGACAGCAGCAAACUGACAGAUAUACAAAUAGAUUUCUCUAUUUCUGCAAAAUAAAUUUUGAAUUGCAAACUAGCAAGCCACACACUUCAAUCCUCAGGCCGCCAAAUUCUCUGCCCCUCCAUAUUCACGCCACGUUUUGCUAAAGCAUCUGCAAAUGAGUUCAUUUCUCUGUUUACAUGCACAAACUCUACCUGAUGAAGUGCUGCCAAGCAAUUAUGCAGUUUGUCACUGAAGAACCGCAUUGACCAUGGACAAUCCUCACUCCUCUUAACCCAACUAAGGGCCACUUGUGAGCCGGACUCUACCAUCAACUUCCUCUCUUGAAGCCUCCUCUUCAAAAUGUUUAGAAAUGUUUGGCGAAUUUUCAUGCAUAGCACUGAAUUAGCAACAAACUAUCAACAACGACAGGGCAGUCGAAAAAAGCCCCGUGGGUAAUGUUUGCCGAAGGCAAUACUGCAGCUAAGUUUUAUAAGCAAAGUUUUAUCAACAAAAUGAGAAUAAAUGCAACGUACUUUUUCGUACAAGAUCAUAGCACAACACUAAAAGUCAUCGAUAAACAAGGUCUAGUAGCAACUAACUGCUACGUGACAGCUUCGAACAACAAAAGACAAGGACAUAUUACACAUACAAUAUACAGCGUAUAGGUUUUUUGUAUACUGCAAUUUAGUAUUCAAGACAUACUCCGGAAUAGUACCUAAAUAAGUAUAUUACAAUUUGGCUUUAAAAUUGGAGACUACCAGUUAGAUAAAGUCAUGGACCUCAAAUGAAGAGUUCAUGUGAUCGACCAAAUGCUUGUCAAGUCAAACAUGUUUCGGUAAAAAAUAACACCAGUUAGAAAGGUUCACAGAGAAGGCAUCGUAAUUUGUAUGAAAUAUGAGAACUCUUCACUGCCCAUUAUCUAGAAGUGGAGAGUCGGUGUUAGAUUGGUGCUUCUCCUUCUUAUCUUCAGCUGAUGAUUUAUCAUCCUAAAGGCAGAAAAAAUAACACUGUCAAUUAUCACUGCAAGGCUAGUUUUUACAAAGCUUCACAAAAUCAGUCGGUCCUUGGGCCGGAUAUCGAGUUUUCAAAAAAAUAAAAUCAUCAUUGCAAAAUUAAUCAUAUGAAAAAAGUUUACAAUAGGUAUAAAAAAAACAAACGAACAAUAACUGAAUAUGAAAAAUUCAAAACUAAUUUCAUUACAGAUACCACGGUCGUCAUUCUUGAACAACUUGUACUUGAGUAAAUCGCAGAAAGGGUUCCUACAAUUAUCUUCUCAUUUUGAAAUAUAGCAAAAAUGGAAAAAGUCCACAUUAAAACAGCAAAGGGCAUGCAAAAUCUUAGAAACAGAAAGUCAAGCGGAUCCAUCAAAAUGAAUGUGAUGACUGUUACCUUUUCAGCGCAAUAGAAAUGAAGUUUGGGAGGUGCAGCAGAGGUAGGCACAGCGGCAGAAGCAGGCAUGGAGGCAGAAGCAGGAGCAGUAGGAGGAGCAUAUUCAGCAGCAGAAGCAGGUGGGGCAGAGGAGGGGGCAGACGUGGCAAGUUUGGAACGAUAGCUGAUGAUCUUAGCGCCCUUUAUAGAUUCUACAACCUGCUUAGUAACAAACAAUCACAAACUCUUCUUAUGGUUGUUUCAUUUGAAACUAUCUAAGCUGAGAUUCUCAAAAGAAUUACCACACUCAGCUCCCUUAUGGAUUUUAAAUAACAACCUGCUUAAGAUUAAAACAAUCCGAGUAAUCUGUAAAGAUGUUAACUUCCGCAGACGGUGAGUUUUGUCGCAAGAAGUCUACUAUUCCAUUAGGUAUGGCAGGUGGUUCCAAACGAGCUUUAAAUGUCUUUCUUAACUUAGCAACUUCUUUACUUGACAUGGCAGCAUCUUUCUUUAACAAGGCAUCUACGAUUGAGCGGGAUGAAGAUCCAUCAUGAAAUGGUAUCAUUUCUAUUACCAAUGACUUCAAGUUACAUAAAGAAUGUAGCUUAACCUUCGAUAAAUCAGGAACUAUGGAGAGAAUCUAAGCAAUGAGGGUGAAUUAAAAUCAGUUUUACACAAGUCAAUUGAACUUUAACAAAACUUUAAAACCAUAAAAAAACAUCUUAAGAAGAAAGUACAAAUAAAGCCAGAAAACAUGACAAUUGACCUGAAGAGUAGUUGAAGUGACUCUAAAUGAUUCUACAUUCGCAAAGUCUAGCAGCCAGCUGAGUAGAAUCAAACCAUUCCCCGCUGAAGCAUAAAGCUGAUGUGAAUCAUCAAUAUUUACUUGUUUAACAGAGGAAAGUCCGCUCCCGCAUAUUUUUUGAAUAAGACUACCAAUAAAAGUAAAUGUACAAAGACUUGGAGUAGAUAGCUCUAUUUUGGCAAAUUUGGAUGAAGUGUCAUGGUAAGAUAACUUCAUUUUUUCCAAAGGAUAAUGUAUAGCUAAAUUGACAAGUGUCUCACUUGAUAUGUUGAGGAUUUGAGCAUCCUUUAUCUUACAACAACGAAUGCCCAAACUAUUCAACUUUGGAAAGGCCAAAAAGGGAUCAGCACAACCGCUUUCACCACCGCAAAAGACUAAAUUUGCUAAAUCUAAGUUGGUCAACAAAGGCAAAUUCAAAGAUUUUGGAAAUAAUGUUUCUUCAGAAGUAAAAUAAUAAUGACCACCUCUAGGGGGAAGUGAAAGCUUAAGAGAUGUAAGAGCGUGGCAUGAAGAAACGCAGUUCAGAAUGAAACCACUUCCACCACGGAGAGAGAUUCCUAAUUCGUGGAGGUGGGUAUUAUGGGAGCAAAUAUAAUUUAAAAUCUUUUUAAGGAGUUGAGGUUCAAUAUCACCACGACGAUCAAGAUUGAGAGCUUGCAGAGAAGUUGAGCUAUUGCGAAGAGUCAAAAUGUUAGACACGAAUAUGGCAAAUUUCUUGACAGUUGAAAAGUUUGAGGAAUGUAAUAUAAGGGUAGGAAUACGUGCCCAAAGAUGCUUCCAUCUUGUGGACAAAACACAGGUUUGAACAGCAUGUUUGGAGUCCAAAAAUGAUAAAAUGUGAAGGAUAACACACUCGGGUAAGUCACUUAGCUUGUCUUCAUUUUCUUCAUUUUCAGUCUCACAUUGCCUUAUUUUUUUCAUCUUUUCUUGAAUCCUGAUUUUCUUGGAAGAAUCGUACGCGCGCCUCAUUUUCUGUAUGUUAAGCAUAAAAAGGAAUUAUAAAGCAAUAUUUCAAGCCUUUCUUAAAAUAAAAAAAAAUAAAAAAACAAUACUUCAAGCCAAAGCAAAUUGUUCCAAAAGCAAGUGUUAUAGUACGACAAUAGGGCUGACAAUCAACCGAACCAACUCCAAAAUAGUUCGAGACUCAUUUGAUAAUUAACUCAUUGAACUUUGUUCAUGAACCAAAUGAGUUGAACUCGAACUAUACUGUCUAUACAUAACCCCACUCAUUUGGUUCAGGAGCAAGCUCGACACACACUACACUAUCACAAGUCUGUUAACACACAUUACUUCUCUAACAUUCAUAAUUUCAAUUAAAUGGGUGCCAUGUUUUAACAGGAUUUGAAUCCAAGUGAGUAAAGUGACAAAAUCAAGGAUUGUUAUUUUAAUCAACUCAUGAUUUGUUACAGUGGAUCAACAAUAUAUAAUUUUGAUUUGUUAAUUAACGUUGAUAUUAUUCAUUUUACACUCAAAAGUGUCUAUAUUAACAAUACUUAAAUGUAAAUGAGGGGGAAAAAAAAGUUUGGAGGCGAUCUGAUUCUUAUUGAGUAGGAGUGAUGGGUCAGAGAAAAAAAAAAUUAGAAAAUUGAAAUUGAGUUGGAGAAUGUAGAAAAAAUACCUUGUCGUCGUCGUCGAGUAGUGACUUUUUCGAUGGAUUUGAAUGCUGCAGCAAGAACUCUCAAAAAAUAGAUUGAAACGCUUUCAAGGAUUUGUUACUUCAAUUUUGAGCGAGGGGGAAAAAGUUAUUGAGGGAGUAAGCUUUUUCAUUUUUUGUCCUUAUCGAAGGAGUAAUAUAUGAUUGCUUAAAAAGAUUAAAAAUAAUAAUAUAUGAAUUUUUUAGGGCAUGAUAAUAAUAUUGAGCUUGGUCCCUCAACUUAUUUUUUAAUUUUAUUUUGAUUCCUUAACUUUAAAUCAUCUCAAUUUGGUCUCAUAACUUUAUCUCCGUUUAUUUAAGUGGUCUCUUCUGUUAAAAAAAAAAACUAAUCGAAGGAACCACUUAGAUAACAGAGGUAAAGUUAUGGGACCAACUUGAGACGGUUUAAAGUUAAGAGAUCAAAAUGAAAUUCAAAAAUAAGUUGAGGGAUCAAAGCAUGUAUUAAGCCUAAUAAAAAUAAUUUUAAUAUCUAUACCUAUAAUUUUAAUCUAAAUCAAAAUAAUUUCAAUUAAAAAAAAUUUAACAUUAUUAAUAAUAAUAAUAAUAAUGAAAUUAACAUAUACAAAAGAAAUAUAUUCCAAAAUCUAUAUAACAAGAAUCUAAAUUUAAUUAUUGAGUAGAUUAAUUAUUGAUCAGACUUUCCUACUUAUUAAUAAUCGAACUUCAAAUUACCACUAUUUCUUUCUCCAAAAAUUGGAUGGUAUAUUAUACUAUAACACUUUUUUUUCUAAUGAGUCAAAUGUAAAAAAAAAAAAAAAAUUAUUGGAAGGUAUAUUAACUUAUUUUUGAAUUUCAUUUUGGUCCCUUAACUUUAAACCGUCUCAAUUUGGCCCCAUAACUUUACCUCUGUUAUCUAAGUGGUUCAUUCGAUUAGUUUUUUUUUAACAGAAUGGACCACUUAAGUAAACGGAGAUAAAAUUAUGGGACCAAAUUGAGAUGAUUUAAAGUUAAGGAACCAGAAUAAAAUUCAAAAAUAAGUUGAGGGAUCAAAGCAUGUAUUAAGCCUAAUAAUAUAUAUGAUUUCCUGCAGAAAAAUAAUAUAUAUAUAUAUAUAUAUAUAUAUAUAUAUAUAUAUAUAUAUAUAUAUAUAUAUAUAUGAUUGUUUAGCUUUUCUAGUUUUGGCUUAUAAAAUUUAUUUAUUUUUUGCACAUGAGAACAAACAUCAUUUAUGUUUAGAUCUUGUUUCCUUUGUAAAUAUAUUUUCUAUAUUCAUUUAUAAAAAAAAAAUGAUACGAUACUUUGAAAGUAAAGCAUUAUGAUAAAAAGAAAUGAAAUGUUCGAAUUUUGAUUGGAAAAGUACUCAUAUUCAGUGAUCAGCAUGUAUUAUCUCUUCUAGAAGGAAUAUAUUGUUAGAGUAUAUGUAAAUAUAUUAUAUGUAAAUAGCAAUAAGUAGCAUAUCAAUCAGUAGUAUGAUACUGAGUUAAUUAGUUUCGGUUACCACCAUAAUUAUGGCUAAGUCAACUAUUGUAAUUGGUGUAUAUAACCACAAUCCUGUUAAUGAAAUAAGGAAGCAAUUAUAUUCUUUCAUGGUAUCACAAGUCUAGGGUACGAUCCAUAUUGCUUCCGCCGCACCCUAGCUCUCUUCUCCUUCCUUCUCUAAUUCUCUCAUGGCAACCCCCACGACUGAAUCUACCAAAUUCCACCCGGCUCUUGCUGUUUCUAAUAUCAAGAACCAUAUCUCCAUCACUCUUGAGAUCGAAAACGUCCAAUAUGCGACAUGGGCAGAACUGUUCAAGAUUCAUGCCCGAUCUCACAAGGUCCUCCACCACAUCAUCCCGCCGGCGACAGGCAAAUCGAAGGGCCCUAAAACAGAUGAUGAAAAGGAAUUGUGGUCAACCCUUGAUGCUGCGGUCCUCCAAUGGAUCUAUUCAACAAUUUCGCACGAUCUGCUGCAUACUAUCAUUGAACCAGACGCCACCGCGAUGGAGGCGUGGAAUAGGUUGCGUGAUAUAUUCGAAGACAACAAAAAUUCUAGGGCUGUAACACUUGAGCAGGAAUUCUCCUCUACCAACAUGGAAGAUUUCCCAAACGUUUCUGCCUACUGUCAACGACUCAAGGAGUUGUCAGAUCAACUCAAAAAUGUUGGUGCACCGGUCUCAAACAACCGUCUUGUCCUUCAAAUUGUGGCUGGCCUCUCUGAAGCGUACAAUGGAGUAGCCACACUCAUCCGCCAAAGUGAUCCUCUUCCACAAUUCUAUCAAGCUCGCUCAAUGCUCACUCUAGAAGAAGCCGGUCUCAUGAAGAAGGUUGCAACCAGCGGGGGUGCAGCCAUGAUGGCUCGUGAAACUAGUGACAGUCCCUCCCUCUCUAAAAAUUACCAACAAAACCGUAAUAAUCAUGGCGGUAAACAUGGUCAGAAUCGUCAAAAUAGUGGCAAGAACAAUGGUGGCCGCGGAAGUGGCAAGAACAGCCGCGGUGGUGGUCGUGGUGGCAUCCGCAACGGUGGCGGGCAGCAGCAAUACGAUCAACAGCGACCGGGGCAGCAACAGUGGUCUGCCGGGCAGUGGCAGUGGCCUUGGAUGCCGUGGGGUAUGCCACCUUGCCCAUACCCCUCCUCACCAUGGGCCAGACCCAAUUUCCAACAUGGGCAGCACGCGCAACAACACCAGCCAGGCAUCCUUGGGUCAAAACCACCUCAAGCAUACACGGCAGCAGCUCCGCUCACUCCAACUGACAUUGAGGCAGCGAUGCACACUCUUGGGCUUAAUCCUACGGAUCCAAAUUGGUACAUGGACACUGGUGCCACAUCCCACAUGACUUCCGAGCAAGGUAAUCUCUCGUCUUAUUUUAAUUUGAGCAAUAAUCGUGGUAUCAUUGUCGGUAAUGGUCAUUCAAUUCCAAUUCGGGGUUACGGUCACACAAAUUUGUCUUUCCCAAAUCCUCCCUUAACCUUGAAAAAUGUCCUGCAUUCCCCUCAACUUAUUAAAAACUUAGUGUCAGUUAGAAAAUUUACAACUGAUAAUUCGGUUUCUGUUGAAUUUGACCCUUUUGGCUUUUCUGUGAAGGAUUUCCAGACGGGGAUGCGUCUAAUGAGAUGUGAGAGCCGGGGAGACCUUUAUCCCAUCACCACCAGCCAAGCCAUUUCACCAUCUACUUUUGCAGCUUUAGCACCAUCUUUGUGGCAUGCUCGUUUAGGUCAUCCGGGGGCACCUGUUGUUGAUUCCGUUCGAAAAAAUAAAUUUAUUGAAUGUAAUAAGGCUAGUGGUUCUCAUAUUUGUCACUCUUGUUCUCUUGGAAAACAUAUUAAGUUGCCAUUUGUUUCUUCUAAUUCUUGUACUGUUAUGCCAUUUGACAUUAUCCAUAGUGAUAUUUGGACAUCUCCUGUUUUGAGUUCUUCGGGCCAUAGAUAUUAUGUUUUGUUUGUGGAUGACUACUCUAAUUUUUUGUGGACAUUUCCAUUGUCUAAAAAAUCUCAAGUUUUUUCCAUUUUUUUUAUCUUUUCGAACAUUUAUCCGAACCCAAUUUGAACGGGAAGUAAAAAAUAUUCAAUGUGAUAAUGGUAAAGAAUUUGAUAAUAGACAUUUUUGGGAAUUUUGUAAAGAAAACGGGGUAGCUUUUCGCCUCUCUUGUCCACAUACAUCAUCUCAAAAUGGGAAAGCCGAGAGAAAAAUCCGUACCAUCAACAAUAUUAUUCGUACACUCCUUGUCCAUGCAUCUUUACCACCUUCAUUUUGGCAUCAUGCUUUACAAAUGGCCACCUAUCUUAUCAACAUUCUGCCAAACAAACAAUUAGCAUAUCAAUCACCUCUCAAAAUUCUUUAUCAAAAGGAACCUUCUUAUUCUCAUCUUCGGGUGUUUGGGUGUUUAUGUUAUCCUUUAUUUCCCUCUACCACCAUAAACAAACUUCAAGCCCGUUCUACCCCGUGUGUUUUUUUGGGAUACCCAUCUAAUCAUCGUGGUUACAAAUGUUAUGAUUUGUCCUCUCGUAAAAUCAUAAUCAGUCGUCAUGUCAUUUUUGAUGAAACCCAAUUUCCCUUUGCUAAGUUGCACAAUCCACAACCUUAUACAUAUGGUUUUAUGGAUGAUGGACCCUCUCCUUACGUGAUUCAUCACUUAACCUCACAACCUAGCCUAGGUCAACCAGCCCAACAUGACCUUCCCAACACUCAACCUACUACUCAACCUACAACACCAGAAGAACAACAUGCCCAUAGCCCACCAUCGUCAUCACCAAAUACCUCACCUAGCACAACAGCUACACCUUCACCUCCAUAUCAGCCAACUCCUAUUUCGGUUCCCAAACCCGUAACACGUAGUCAGCAUGGAAUUUUCAAACCUAAGCGACAAUUAAAUCUUAAUACUAGUGUCCCUAGAUCCCCCUUACCACGUAAUCCUGUGUCUGCCCUUCGUGACCCGAAUUGGAAAAUGGCUAUGGAUGAUGAAUUUAACGCUCUUAUUAAAAAUAAGACGUGGGAGUUGGUGCCCCGUCCACCUGAUGUAAAUGUGAUUCGGUCUAUGUGGAUUUUCACUCAUAAAGAAAAAUCUGAUGGUGUUUUUGAGAGGUAUAAGGCCCGUCUUGUAGGUGAUGGCAAAACGCAACAGGUUGGCGUGGACUAUGGGGAAACUUUUAGUCCAGUGGUCAAACCGGCCACUAUCCGCACUGUUUUGAGUUUAGCUCUCUCUAAAGCAUGGUCUAUUCACCAACUUGACGUGAAGAACGCUUUCUUGCAUGGAGAACUCAAAGAGACUGUGUACAUGCAUCAACCCAUGGGGUUUAGGGAUCCAAAUCUUCCUAAUCAUGUAUGCUUGUUAAAGAAAUCUCUAUAUGGGCUCAAACAGGCCCCUCGGGCUUGGUACAAGAGAUUUGCUGAUUAUGUUUCUACUAUUGGUUUUUCUCACAGUACUUCGGAUCAUUCUCUCUUUAUUUACCAGAAAGGCACAACUAUGGCUUACAUUCUUUUAUAUGUGGAUGAUAUUAUACUGACAGCCUCCUCUGAUGCUCUUCGCAUGACUAUCAUAUCCCUCCUUAGUACAGAAUUUGCUAUGAAGGAUUUGGGGUCAUUACAUUACUUCUUGGGUAUCGCUGUAACUCAUCAUACAGGUGGAUUGUUCUUAUCUCAACGAAAGUAUGCAGCUGAGAUCAUUGAACGGGCUGGCAUGGCAGCAUGUAAAUCAUCUUCUACUCCGGUUGACACUAAACCGAAGCUUAGUGCUAAUUCCAGCGCACCAUAUGCAGAUCCAUCUCAUUAUCGAAGCCUUGCAGGUGCUCUUCAAUACCUCACUUUUACGAGACCUGAUAUUGCUUAUGCUGUGCAACAGGUGUGUUUAUUCAUGCAUGACCCAAGGGAAGAACAUAUGCAUGCUCUCAAGCGCAUUGUGCGCUACAUUCAGGGUACUCUGGAUCAUGGUUUGCAUCUCUAUCCAUCCUCCACAUCCACUCUCAUUUCUUAUACAGAUGCUGAUUGGGGUGGGUGUCUGGAUACCCGACGCUCUACGUCUGGUUAUUGUGUGUUUCUUGGUGAUAAUUUAAUUUCUUGGUCCGCCAAACGGCAAGCUACUUUGUCACGUUCUAGUGCGGAGGCAGAAUACCGAGGCGUUGCCAAUGUGGUUUCUGAGUCAUGUUGGUUACGUAAUCUUCUUCUUGAGCUUCAUUGUCCUAUUCGAAAGGCUAGUUUGGUGUAUUGUGAUAAUGUUAGUGCGAUUUAUCUCUCUGGAAAUCCGGUUCAACAUCAGCGCACUAAACAUAUCGAGAUGGAUAUUCAUUUUGUUCGCGAAAAAGUUGCUCGUGGGGAAGUUCGAGUCCUACACGUCCCCUCACGCUACCAGAUUGCAGAUAUUUUUACAAAGGGCCUUCCCUUGGUUCUGUUUGAGGAUUUUCGGAACAGUCUCAGCGUACGACAACCUCCCGUUUCGACUGCGGGGGUGUGUUAGAGUAUAUGUAAAUAGCAAUAAGUAGCAUAUCAAUCAGUAGUAUGAUACUGAGUUAAUUAGUUUCGGUUACCACCAUAAUUAUAGGCUAAGUCAACUAUUGUAAUUGGUGUAUAUAACCACAAUCCUGUUAAUGAAAUAAGGAAGCAAUUAUAUUCUUUCAUAUAUGAAAAUUAAAAAAUAAAAAUAAUCAAAUUUUAUACAAGAGUAAAUUACACUCCCCUCCUUAAAAGUAGCUUGAAUUACACUCUCCUUAAAAUAUACACUUCUCUCUCUUUCGUAAAGUAAAAUUUAUACUCUCUUCUCUUAUAAGAUGUUUAAUUACACUCUCCCCUUAAUAAUUAAAUAUGCACUACACUUUAAUCUACUUUAACCUAAAUAAAUAUUUUUAUGAUAUAUACUAAUUUUGAACUACCAUUUAAGAAAAAUAAAUUCAUUUCUUUAUAAUUUAAAUGUCAAUGAUAAUUAAAUUUAAAUAUUUUUCUAUUAAUUUUAUAAUUUAGAGUAUAAAAUUAACUUUUAAAUAACCAUGUUAUAUUAUCUUUAGUAAUUUUUUACAUAUUUUAAUUUUAUUUUGGGUUGUUUCAUAUUUUAUUAUAGGGUUUAAAACUACACUUUAAUUCAAUUGUGAAUAAAAAAUAACGAAAAAUACGUAUUCAAAUGUAUUAAAAAAUAACGCAAUACUAUUUUUUUUUCAAAUGUGUUAGUUUUUUUUUUUUUUUUUUUGCAAGAUUAUUAGAAUGAAAAAAAAAUAUUGAGCGAUUAAAGUGUAGAUUUUAACAUAAGAGUGGAGGGAAAUGUAAUUCAAGUUUCUCUUAGGGGAGGGGAGUGAAAAAAUUCUAAUAUGUUUUGAAUAAGAAGGGAGGAAAGUGUAUACUUUAACAUAAAAAAGGAGGGGAGUGUAAUUCAAACAUUUUGAAGGGAGUGUAGUUUACUCUUUAUACAAAUAAUUUCUCUUCGAAGCUUUUUUAAUGUGAUGUAAUAAAUCACAAAUAUGACUGAGCAUCUAAAUGUUUUCCUAACAAGUAUGCCAUAUUGUGGAUUUUUAGUUUGUCAAAGAAUUGUCAAACUCUAUAAUCUAACCAACUAGUCGUUACCAACAAUGACAUUGUUAGAGUGUCUCUUUAUAUGUAGAGCUAAAAAUGUUGCAGCUCAUAGUCUUGUAGGAAUAGCUAAACGUAUUGGCUCCAAAAGUUGGGUGGAAAAUGUCUCAGAACCUACUGCCUCAAUGAUAUGGUCUGAUGCUUUGUCAUUCUAAUGAAAUGAGGUUUCUGUCAAAAAAAAAAAAAAAAAAAAACAGUGACAAACCGAUAGGACCUGUAAUAUUUUUUUUUUAGAAACUAAAAUGGAUUAAAAUAUCGAAAGUUUGGAGAUUUCAGCACAAGGAGUGCCAAAACCCCAGCUAAAAGAGUCAGUUACAAGAGUGCCAAAUGGCCAAAACAUGAACAAAAUAGAAGGUUACCAUGUUACAUAAAUAUUCCUAAGCAAGGUAAAGGGUUCAACCACCAUGAAUGGUAGGAGAAAACAAAACUAAGUCGGUUCGCUUUCAGCCACCAAUAUGAUUGGAGCUUAACUUUAUCUAACAAUUGAUUAAAAGAAGCUUCUUUUUGGUGAAAUAUGCGAGCAUUUCUUUCAAGCCAGAUCACCCACACACAAGAUAGCCAAAUAAGAUUAAGAGUUGAGUGUUUGCUGUUAGAGAAGCCGCUAAAGGUGCCAAAUUGAUAUAAAUGGUCUAACACAUUUUCCGGAAACACUAAUUGGUAACCAAGCCAGUGAGAAAUGUCAUACCAAAGUUUGCCAAAAAAAUCAUAAGAGAAAUGAACAUUCGGAUGUAAAAUGUGUCUUUUGAUUAAAUUUUCCGUUGUAGUUAAUCUAUCACGUAACAAGCGCUAAGCGAAGAGACUGAUUUUCAGAGGCACUUCCUUGUUCCAAAUUUCAGUCAUCUGAGUAACCACCAAGUUGUUACUGGUGAAUGUCAACAUAUGAUUAUAAGCACUUGUAACUUUAUAACUGUUGGAGGCAUGCAAGUGCCAAAUCCACCUGUCAGGAUGAUUAGGCUGCAAAACAAUAUUAGAUAAAAAAUCACAACAUUCCUGCACUUUCUCUUCGUCCCAAGCCAACAAACGACGCCGCCACUACUAAGCUUCACCCUCAACCCCCCACCCAGAAGAAUACAUUUCAGCCACCGUUACCAAUUUAUUAGUAGCAAGAUCAAAAAGGCGACUGAAACUAUUCUUCAUAACUAACACAUCAAUCCAAGGAUCCCACCAAAAUAAAGUUUGGGCACCAUCUCCUACCUCCCGCCCAACAUUAUCAUCAAACCAACUCCCACCUCCCACACCAUCCCCAUUUUUAACAUUUAUCAAAUUAUUCCACCAAACAGAGUUAAACCGCCCAUGUUCGGCAAUUUUACCUCCUACCUCACCGUAUCUAGCAAAUAAAACUCUAUACCACAAACUUCUAUUUUCAACCCGCAUCCGCCAACACCAUUUACCAAGUAAAGCUAAGUUAAAUUCUUGAAUCCUUCGCACACCUAAACCUCCCUCCUCCUUUUUGGAACAAAUAGUGUCCCAGUUAAUCCAAGAAAUUUUCCUAACCUCCUCACAAACCCCAAAAAAAAAAACAAUUAAAUAUAGAUUCAAUGGAAGAAAUGAUACAUGCGGGAGCUUUGAAGAAGGAAAGAAAGUAGAUCGGAAGAGAGGACAAGACAGACUUUAGGAGAACUAAACGGUUAAUCAACGGUUGCCAAAAUUUUAGUUUUUGAGGAUCACCACCUAUAAGCAACCCCAGAUAAAGGAAGGGGACUCUGCCCAAUUUGCAAUUAAUGACAGAAGCUGCCUCAGCCAACCAAGAAUCAUGAAUAUUAACACCAACUAACAUACUUUUGUUGAAGUUCACCUUAAGACCAGAUGUCACUUCAAAGAGAAGAAGCAGAGCUUUCAACGCUCUAAUAUUGGCCCAGCUUCGCUCCCCAAUCAACAAGGUGUCAUCAUCAAAUUGUAGAUGAGUGAUGAAAACAUGAUUAUUUGCGCCAACCUUGUAGCUAGAGAACAGACCAUCCUCUACAAGAGCCUUCAUCAUGACAUUUAACCCUUCAGCUGCUAUUAAAAAUAGAAAAGGUGAAAGAGGGUCACCUUGUCUCAACCCAUGUUCAAGUUUGAAUUCAUCUGUUGGGCUACCAUUAACAAGAACAGAAGCUAAGGCCAUACUGACACAUGAUGAGAUAAAACCGCAAGUGCACGGUCUUACCGAAGUAGUAAAAUAUGAGUAUCGUUCCGACAGGGAGUUAUGAAUUCAAUUAACUUUAGAUAAUGAUUAGACUGAAGAUUUUGUAAGGUAGAAAGGUUUGUAUUUUUAAUUGAAAGCAAAUAAUAAAAUAAAAGAUAAAAGCCUUGGGAUUAUUGGUUCAUCCUAACGACAAGUCCUUCUCAAACCAAACUAUUAAACUUAUAACUUUAUGUUAGACCUAAUUUCUCAAGACAGUUUCUCUUUUGUUCCUCUAGCAACCAAGCCUAUUUCGCUGACUUGAUUACUAUUAGAUUUUGGUUCCUCUAACAACCAAGCCUAUUUCGCUGACUUGAUUGUUAUUAGUUCCCUUGAAGAUCGAAACUAUAUGUCUCAAAGAUUGCAAAUCCUAUUUCGCUGACUUUGCAAUCCUUGUCUAAAUUCACUUGUUCGAAUAUCAAAGCUCCACUUUCGUUUUAUGAAUUGAUAUUUGAGAUGAUGGAUAAACAAUUAUCAAACCCUCCACUUUCGUUUCCACGGUUUGAUAAUGGUUGAUCCAUGUUAAAGCGGUGAAUUUAGAUAAGGAAUUAGGGUUACAUAAGAUUAAGGUUUAAAGCAUGGUUUGAUUAGGAUUAUGUCAUUAGACUUAUCCAACAAUCCCAAGACAAGAGAAGUCUACUCACUGACGUUCAUUGUAGACAAGGAGAAGAAGAGAGAAAACAUAAAAGUAAAUAACAAAGAAAGUAAAAUGAACUUUUAUUAGAAAGACAAUUGUCACAUAUUGUAUUCCAAGAAAAGAUGAAUAUUUGUGAUGGCUAGCUACUCUAUUUAUAGUACACAAUUGACUUAAAAUCUAAGCAAGUAUAUUCCAAGAAUAUUCCUCGGUAGAUUGUGCGCCAAAAUAGAAUAGCUUGGAGUCCAAGCAAAAGCAGCAAAAGGUGUUCUGGAGAAUAUUCCAAGUAUAUUCCACGAGACAUAUUUUUGUCUCCGAAUCUUCAUAUUUUUGUACCGAAUCAGCUCCAAAUCCCUUUCUUUUGCUCCAAGACUCAAUCCAUCCAAUAUUCGUUCCUGAAAUAUAAUAAAAUGCAAUUGUAGUAAAAUAGUUCAAGAAAGGAAAUAAUAUUAAUAUAAAAUAAACUUAAAUCUAAAUAAAACUAAACUAAAUAACAUAUUAAAAUAGAUAAUAAAUGACUCAUCAACACAUUCCAUAAUCCACUUACUCCAUAAGGUAGGAAAAUUCAUUUUUUUCAUGACAGCUUCAAGGUAUGACCAAUUAAUGGAAUCAAAGGCCUUCUCAAAAUCAACCUUGAAAAUGAACAAAUCUUUUUUCAGGCGCUUAACAUCUCCCACAAUCUCAUUAGCGAUGAAAAUAUCAUCAAGAAUUUGUCUACCAUGAAUAAAAGCUGAUUGAGUUUCUGAAAUAACACUAGACAUAGCCCUUCACAAUCUAUUGAAGAGAACUUUGGAAAGAAUUUUGUAAAGACUUCCAACCAUAGAUAUUGGUCUGAAAUCAUUCAGGCGCUGCGGGCACUCGGUUUUAGGAAUUAAAGCAAUAAAAGUAUUGUUGAUGUCUUUUGACAACUUCCCAUUCCUAUGAAAAUCAGAUUAGAAGUGCAUAAUAUCAUCAUGGAGCUCCGGCCAAAAAUCCUUAACAAACCCCAUAUAAACCAUCUGGUCCAGGACUUUUAAAACUGUCACAAUCCCAAACAGCUUGUUUAACUUCGUCAACUGAAAAAAGUUUGGUUAGCUCACCACAUUGGCCUAAACUAAGCAUAUUAAAAUUGAGAUUCUCAAUGCUAGGUCUUUCAACAGCCACAAAUUUAAAAUGAGAUGAGAAGUGAUUGAAAACCAGUCCUCGGAUUCCUUCAACGCCCUCAACAAUAGUGCCAUUAGCAGAUAAAGAAAAAAUGGAGUUUGCUCACCGCUUAGAGGACAUAAUGCUAUGGAAGAACUUAGUGUUAGCAUCUCCCUCUUUCAACCAAAGUAAUCUAAAUUUCUGCCAUUGCAUGCUAGUGUUGAUACGAGAUAACGAAAUAAAUUCUGAAGAGGUUUGAUUUUGCUAUCACUGGCACAAGCAAAUCACAGAUCAUAUAUAUAGCAAAACACAUAGGAAAUCCAAAAUCUUACACGAAUAAUAAUAUAGGUUAGUUUUGAUCAACUGAUCACAAGCAAAGUUUUUAAAUAAUUACAAUGAUACUGAUUUUUUUUUUAAUAAAUACCUGGUUAAGUUUAAAAUCAAUCCCACACUGACGAGAUUUCAAGUUUCGCCGAAGGCGAGCAACUUUCCUUAACAUGGACUCCAUCAGUAUGUCGGGUAAUCCCAUUUGAAGUGAUUCCAGUUCUAUUUCCAGUGACUUCAAGUUACACAAAGAAGGUAUCUUAAACUUCAAUAAAUUAGGAACUAAGGAGAGAAUCUGAAAAUGAGGAAUGAGAGUAAAUUACGGUAAGUUAUGCAAUUCAAUUGAUUUUAAACAAAAUUAAGAAAUAAAAGAAGAAAUUUCUAGCAGAUAGUAAAAUUAAAGCCUUAAAACAUGCAAAGGUACCUGAAGAGUACUUGAAUGGGAGAACUAUCACCACAGACAGAGAUUCCUAAUUCCUCGAGGAAGGUAUUAUGGGAGCAAACAUAGUCUAAAACAUUUUUAAGAAGUUGAGGCUCAAUCUCACCUCGACGGUCAAGAUCAAAAGCCUGCAUUGCAGUUGAGGUAUCUCGAAGAGUCAAUAUCUUAGAAACGAAUAUGUCAAAAUUCUCCACAUUGGAAAAUCUUGAGGAAUGUAAUGUAAGGGUAGGAUUACGUUUCCAGAGAUGUUUCCAUCUCUUGGACAACACGCAAGUUCGGACAGCGUGUUUGGUGUACAAAAAUGAUAAAAUGUAAAGAAGAGGAGCAUCAGGUAAGUCACUUAGACCAUCCUCAAUGGUUAAACUCAUUCAACACUCAUUUUUUCAAUUCACACUCCACAUCAUUUUCUCUCUCUUAAUCAAUACUCAUUCAACUUUUACACUCUCCGAUGAUUUUUCAUUCAACACUCUACUCCACCACUUUUUAUUUCUUAUUCUUAUUUAAUUUUUGUUUUUAUGAUUACAUAAAAUUAUCGAUUAUAAUUAAAUUAAAAUAAUACAAUUAACUAUUUAUUUUUUAGUAGUUUUGGAAGAAAAAAAAUUGUAAAAUAAUUUAUUUUUAUUUUCUUAACUUAAAAUGCAAUACAACAAACUAAGCACGCGACACACAAACAACUUAAAAUGCAAUACAACAAACUAAGCAUACAACACACAAGUAAUUUAUUUAAUACGAUACAAAUCAUCUUCAAUCACGGUACAUUCCAAACUUUAUCCAUAUGUGUUUCACUAGAUCUGUUUGCAAUUUGUGAUGAACAUCUGGAUCACGCAACUCGGUCGAGUAUGGUUGCGGUGUACUAGAUCCAUUUCCCCCAGGUUGCUCAAAUUCGGUCCAACGUUGAGCAUAUGUAUCUCGUUCAUCCUCAACAAUCAUAUUAUGUAAUAUGAUGCAUGACCUCAUGAUGAUACCCAAAUCGGCUAUGUUCCACAAGCGAUCUGGUUCAUGGAUGAUUUUAAAUCGAGCUUGAAGCACUCCAAAAGCACGUUCGAUGUCCUUCCGACAUCACUCAUGAUGUUUUGGAAAUAACUUAUCGGGUUCACUUUGAGGAAGUCUAAUUGAUUUGACAAAAGUUGGAUAAGAAGGGUAGAUACCAUCAGCUAGAUAGUAUGUCAUAUUAUAGGGACGUUGAUUCAAAAAGUAAUUCACCCUUGGAGCCUUUCCCUAUUCCACAUCAUCAAACACUGGUGACCGAUCUAGAACGUUUAUAUCGUUCAACGUUCCCGGACAUCCAAAAAAGGCAUGCCAAAUCCAUAGAUCAUGAGAUGCAACUGCUUCAAGUAUGUGAAAUAAUUAUGUGAAAUAAGUCACAGGGGACUAGACAACACUAGGGACUAUCACUGAGGACUAGACAACACUGACAAUUUUGACCAAAUACAAACAAAUAUUUGAUUGAAAUUAAUUUUCAAACAGCUCACGCUCCAAGUUUUCUAACAGCUAUUUUUUCGGUCAUUGAGAUGCUCUUCGGAACUUAACUUUACAUACAGUUUCAUUUUCUUCAAUCUGUUUUUCUCCUUUUGCACCAAGGUGUACUCUUUCAAUUGUUCAAUCUCUUGCACCUUGAUUUCUUUGAAUUCAAUCCACUCCUUUUCCACCUCCUCCAAGGAAGCGUCCUUGCUUUUCUUUUUACCUUUUUUUUUUAGCUGCCUCCUUACCCAUUGGACGAGCACUAGAUCCUACAGAGUCCUCGUGAGAUAUCUUAGAUCCACUAUUUCCUGACCCAACAUUUCCUCCCAUUUGACUACCAUAACGUGGUUGAUCACGGAGAGUGUGUCAUUCUUCCUUUAAAUUAAAUUGAAUAUUCUUCCCACAUGCAAAUAAUUAUUGCGCUUUUGCCAAAACAUCAUCUUCUGAUCCGCUUCCUUGCAAACGCUUAACGCUUUCAUAAGCACCAAUCCAUUUAUUUAUUACUUUGCUCAUAUAAUUAAAACGGUUUCUGCAUGCAACUAGAUCCCGGGGAGAAUCAAAUGAGCAACACUCAUUACAAUACUCAGCAAUUUUACCCCAAUAUGUUUUUCCUCUCUGGUUUCUUCCGACAACACUGCUUGUUCCAUAUUUAAUCCAUGCACUAAUUAACACCAAAUUUUGUUGAGUGUUCCAUGUUGGUUCCUUACUUUUCUUACUCUUAGGAGUUGAAUCUUCUAGAUUUUGAGUUACUUCAUUAGCAACUGCCAUUCCAUCAGGAGUUAUUUGUGUUGAAAAUUCAGGAUAUUGAGAUGCACCAACACUGGGAAAAUUUUCAUUCUCCAUUGACAUAUAACCAUUAAACAGGGGUGUUUGAGAUGAAUAUCUCAUCAUAGAUCCAUAAUAUGCAUGAAAGUUUGGAACAGAGGAUGACUGGUUGAAAUUUGGUGUAAAACCAAAAUUAGUUAUGUUUUGAGGACGUUGGUUGAAAAAUUGAUUUGGAUUUGGAUAAUUGUUUGGAUUUUCGUAGUUAAAUGAGUAAUUAGAAUAAUUUUGGGUGUUGAAAUGGUUAUUAUUGCGAUCCAUUUCACUAAAAAUAAGAUUAAAACUUCACUUAGUUUGCUAAUAGAAAGAUAAUAAUAAGAUGAAGAUAGUGAAAAACUUGAUUUUUUUUUCUGUGUCCAAAUCAAAUGAACCAAAUCUCUAUUUAUAGAGAAAAAAAAUUAUGAAUUUUAGUAAAAAAAAAAUAAAAAAUAUAUUCGAGUGAAAUGAUUGAGUAGAAAUUAUUAAGAUGAUAAAAAUCCAGACAGCCAAUCACAAUCAGCCACGUGUCAUCCAUUAUCCACAAACAAUCAAUCUUCUCUCUCCGCCUCUCCUGCAGCUCACUCGCGCCUGUCGGCGCGUGUUGCGCACGCGCCAUGCUUGGCCAACUGUUGGCUUCCGCGUGUCCCUGUGGUAGCCGGUUAAACAAUGUUGAAUGUGUUCAACACUUCCCUCCUCCAUGUCAUCUCUCAACACCAUUCAACAUGCCAUUAAAGCUUCAUCACAUGUUGAAAGUCCCAUUCAACACAACCAUUGGACAUGGUCUUAGCCUGUCUUCACUUUCAUUCAUCAGUUACUUCAUUAUUCUCACUUUGCUUUCUUCUCUUCAACUUUUCUAGAAUAAGGCUUUCUUCGUGAGAAUCAAUCUGGUACGUCCAAUCCAUUCCAACGAUUUUGUAUAUCUCGAACAAUAAGAAAACAAAGUUGUGUUGAUUGCAUAAUACUACCUCCGUUCCUUCUUAAUUGUCAUUUUUUGACAUUUUACACAAAUCAAGACAAUCAAUAAUUGUUUUUAUUUUUAAUGCAAUAAGUUAUGCUUUUACUAUAAUGACAUUGUUUAUCUAACAUCUCAUUUCAUAUAUUUCUCUCUCCGCAAUAAAUAACUAAGAAUAAUAUUAAUAAAUCAACAUUUAAUGUUGCAUUGAACUUUGAAAGUAACAGUUAAAUAGGAACAAAAAAUUUCUCUAAAAGAGGAACAGAGGGAGUAUUGAACUCUCAUACCUCGAUGUCUUCAUCGAGUUGUGAGUUAUCCGAUGAGUUGAAAGUUGGAACGUUGCGGCAACUGAAACGACUCACAAAAUAAUGGAUGGAAAUGGGAAUAUGUAAUGCUUUUUCCGAUUCGUUUUAUUUAAUCCAUUGCGACUUGCGAGGGAAAACAAAAUUUGACUUGGGAAAUUGUGCCAACUUUAGAUUUUUCUAUUUUUGUCCUUUUUUUGUUUUGUUUGAGAGGACAUUUUUUUUUAAGGGGAUGCACUUUUAAAAUUUUAAACAAUAUGAUUAUUUUGCUUUUCCAUUUAUCUAUGCUAUCUAUAAAAAGAAUAGAUGACUUUGGAGGAAUAUUGGGUUGUUAAAGCAUAAAAAAAGAAAAAAAACUGGAGAUAUAUUCAUAGUGUGUUACAUUUUUUAUUUAUUUUGAAUUCACUCCCAUCAAUUAUCUUUUUUAAAGAAUAAAGGAUUAGAAGAAAAAAAUUGAUAAAUCAUGGACAAUAAAGAUUGAAUUUGUUACACUUUUUUUAAUAUUUGAAUUUACUUUUAUAUAUCUGUUAUACAUGCUAUUUGUAUUUAAAGUCGAAGAUAAUUUGGUAAAGAGAAAAAAACCAGCCUAAAAGAGUCGAAAGAGACUAUUUUCUUUAUAUAUAAUAUAGAUAUAGAUAUUAUUUGUAAUUUAUACACAUUAGCGAAAUAAAAAAAAAACGGUAAUUACUCAUAAAAAAAAUAAGAUUACCUCCCCUCAAAGAAAAAAAAUAUUACCUCAAAGGAUUGAAAAUCAAUUUAAUCCUAGAUUAUGACAUUCUCUCCAACUCACUUCCUAAAUUAUGUAAAUAUAUUUAGGAGUCUUUGAAAUUGAUAAAAUUUGUAAAUUAAGUAUCUUAUAUUAAUAUGUUACUGAUUAACUUAACUAUUUUCUCAUACAUAAAAACCUAAAUGAUAAUCAAACAAUUGAACUCAAGUGGUUAAUGAGCUCCACCAAGGAUAAAUUAUUCUGAAUAACCUAAGUUGGAUUGUGAAAUACAUUGAAUUAUGAGUCAUGAAAUUAUUAUCAAUUAGAAUGUAUAGUUUGAGAUGCGCUCCAUCCGUUUCAAAAUAAAUAGCCUAAUUUGAUUAUGUCCACUACUCACCCAACAUGCUUUGAUCGUUUUUCUACUAUUAUAUAUAAAGACAAAUGGUACUCCGCCCAUCCCAAAUUAUACGAUGUUUUGGACAUUUCACUGUAUUAAAAAACACAUGAUCAACUAUAAACAUUACUAUAUGUUAGAAAUAAAGUAGUAUCAACAAAAUGAGAAUAAACACAAUGUUUAUAUAAAAGAAAAGCUUGAAAUAGCAGGAUCAUAAAACAAAUUUAUAGCACAAAACCAAGUCAUCGACAAAACACAAACAGGGUCCAGUAGCACCUAAAUGAUUCGUGAAGGCUCCCGAAAACAAAAGACACAUUAUACAUACAAUUUGUAGUGUACAGGAUUUGUACAUUGCAAUUCGGUAUCCGAGACAUACUCCCAAAAGAAGUGCAGUAUAUUACAAUUUCGCUUCAACUAGAUGAACUCAUAGACCACAAAUGAAGAACUAUGUAAUAGACCAAAUGCUUGUCAAAUCAAAAAAUAGGUUUCAGUAAAGUCAUCCAAACUAAUAUUUGCAGAUCUGAUAUCUUAAAAUAAAGGUUCACAAAGGAGGCAUUGACGAGUCAAUAUGAGAACUCUUCACUGGCCAUUAUCUAGAAGUGGAGAGUAGGUGUUAGGUUGGCGCUUCUCGACCUCAUCUUUAUUUGAUGAUUUACUAAAGGCAGAAAAAGUAACACUGUCAACUGUCACUGCAAAAACAAUCAUAUGAAAAAAGUUUACAACAGAUAUAAAAAAGCAAAUGAACAACAACUGGAUAUGAAAGAUUCAAAACUGAUUUUAUUAUAUAGAUGGCUCUGUCGCCAUUCUUCAACAAUUUCAACUUGAGUAAAUUGCAGACAAGGUUCCAACAAUUAUCUGUUAUGAUGUCUCAUUCUGAAGUAUCACAAAAAAGGAAAUAUCCACAAAAAUUCAGUAAAGAAACUCAAAUAAAAAUGCAUGUGAGGAGUUACCUUUUCAGCGCGGCAGAGAUGAAGAUUAGGAGGUGCAGCAGGGGCAGGCACAGCAGCAGAAGCAUUCACGGAGGCAGAAGCAAGAGCAGCGGCAGAAUCAUAUUCAGCAACAGAAGCAGGUGCGGCAUAGAAGGGGGCAGGCCUGAGCCGUUCAGCAAAUCGCGAACGAUAGCUGAUGAUCUUCGCGCCCUUUAUAGAUUUCACAAUGUUAUUUCUGUUAUCUAUUAAAUAUUAUUUAAUUUUUUCAUUGAUUAUGUAUCAGAAAUAUCUUAACAAAAUAACACAAAUUCAUAAAAGUUAAUUAUAUUCUAUUCUAUAUGUCUUAAUACUUUUACUAAAUCCAAUUAAUUUUAUUUGUAUGUACAUCUAUAAAUUUACGAGUAUUUAUAAUAUGGUAUAUUUUGUUAUAUUUGUAUGUAUUUAUUAAGAUAUUCAUCCUAUACCAAUCCGUGAUAAAUUUUAUUUGCGGAUAUCAUACAUAUAAUUUUUUUUUUAUAUUCUUCAAUAUGUCUAACUCAGGCAACGCCGAGUAAAUAUACUAGUAAUUGAAAAAUUCAAAGUUAAUACACAUUCCCAUUACUUUUUUUUUUUUUUUUUUUUUUUGUGAUGGCCGGGGUUCGAACCCCUGACCUUGUAUAUUUUAUGCAUUGUCUAUACCAACUGAGUUAAACUCACGAGGACUCCUGUUACUAUUCUAAACAAAAAACUAAUUUUUAGAUUUAUUCAAUAAAUAAUGUAUGUGCUAUACUCCUUCCGUCAUAUAUUAAAUGACACAGUCGACAUUGUCACACAUACCAAUGCACAAUUUUAAUCUUAAAUAACUUUGUUAAUCUCUUAGAAAAAAUUAUAAAAAUUUGAUAUUUUGAAUAUAUUCAUCCAAACGAAUUCAACGUCAUCUUAUAUGAUAUUAUUUAUCUUUAUAUAUUAGUAGAAAAAUAAGGUAAAUAUGUUAGAUCAAUAGUGCAUAUUUUCAAAUAAGUCAUCUAUUGUAGGACGGAGAGAGUAUAUUAUAAACUACAUAGAACACUUAUUAAAUCACAAGGACGAAUAAUUCACUUUCAUCUAUAUUGCAACCAAGGAACCUAUAAAAAAAUUGAGUAGGUUCCUUUUUUUGCUGAACUGUUCAGAAGUCAAAAACAGAACCCCAAAAAUGAAAGACCAGAAAAUCUCUAGCAAGGAAAUAGAAUUAUUCUGUGGUGAUAGAGAAAAAUAGGAGUUGUAUAAUAAGUUGUUCUAUGACUAACUAUUCAAGCACCGCCAUCAUUAGGAAGCCCUCUCAAAAUGGGUCUUUCUAACAAGAGGAUGCAACUACCAUGCGAUCACACCAAGCCAUUGUUGGUUCACUAAUAGUGCUCCUGACAAGAGCAAGAGUCUUUUUAUACAACUAGAUUUGAUUUAUUAGCUAUCUUACAUACUAGGAUAUAUUCCUAUCAAACUCACAGCCAAUUGAAGCAUUGAUACUGUUCCUAACAUGGGCAACAUGCACUUUUUCUGUACCAGUAACUCAGUAGCUUUAGAUGAAUAUGCAAUUUCGGGCUACUAAAUUCAUCAGAAACAAAAUCACAUGUGAAUUUUCCAGAACAGAAAUAUUUGGAACCCAAAUACCAAUAUGUGAACACAAACCACUUAAAUCUUUAGUUUCUUAGAAAAUUUCCAGUUGACUUUACUUCCGACUUUUCAUCAACGGUUGUUCUCUUCAAGUAGUGACUAUUAGACAAAUUGAAACACAUGAUCAAUUAUAAACAGUACUAUAUGUUAGAAACAAAGUAGUAUCAACAAAAUGAGAAUAAACAUAAUGUUUAUAUAAAAGAAAAGCUUGAAAUAGCACGAUCAUAACACAAAUUUAUAGCACAAAACCAAAAGUCAUCGAUAAAACACAAACAGGGUCCAGUAGCACCUAAAUGAUUCGUGAAGGCCCCCGAAAACAAAAGACCCAUUAUACAUACAAUUUGCAGUGUACAUGAUUUGUACAUUGCAACUCGGUAUCUGAGACAUACUCCCAAAAGAAGUGCAGUAUAUUACAAUUUCGCUUUAAAAUUGGAGACUACCAACUAGAUGAACUCAUGGACCUCAAAUGAAGAACUCAUGUGAUAGACCAAACACUUGUCAAAUCAAACAACAGGUUUCAGUAAAGUCAUCCAA
rnacentral:lncRNA from 1 species